rnacentral:rRNA from 1 species
UGCCAGCAGCCGCGGUAAUACGGAGGGGCUAGCGUUGUUCGGAAUUACUGGGCGUAAAGCGCACGUAGGCGGACUUUUAAGUCAGAUGUGAAAUCCCAAGGCUCAACCUUGGAACUGCAUUUGAAACUGGGAGUCUAGAGAUCAGGAGAGGUUAGUGGAAUACCGAGUGUAGAGGUGAAAUGCUUAGAUAUGCCGCAGAACACCGAUUGCGUAGGCAGCCUGCCAGAGCUAUAUCGACGCUGAGGCACGAAAGCGUGGGGAGCGAACAGGAUUAGAUA